rnacentral:rRNA from 1 species
UGCAAGUCGAACGAGAAAGUCCGCAAGGAUGAGUAAAGUGGCGUACGGGUGAGUAACACGUGGAUAACCUGCCCUUUAGUGGGGAAUACCGCUGGGAAACCGGCGACAAUACCGCAUAAGCUCGAGAGAGGAAAGCAGCAAUGCGCUGAAGGAGGGGUCCGCGGCCGAUUAGCUAGUUGGCAGGGUAAAAGCCUACCAAGGCUGUGAUCGGUAGCCGGCCUGAGAGGGCACACGGCCACACUGGCACUGAAACACGGGCCAGACUCCUACGGGAGGCAGCAGUGGGGAAUCUUGCACAAUGGGGGAAACCCUGAUGCAGCGACGCCGCGUGAGCGAUGAAGCCCUUCGGGGUGUAAAGCUCUUUCGGCAGGGACGAUUAUGACGGUACCUGCAGAAGCAGCUGCGGCUAACUACGUGCCAGCAGCCGCGGUAAUACGUAGGCAGCAAGCGUUGUUCGGAGUUACUGGGCGUAAAGGGUGCGUAGGCGGCUUCUUAAGUCUGGUGUGAAAUCUCCCGGCUCAACUGGGAGGGUGCGCCGGAUACUGAGGGGCUAGAGUAUGGGAGAGGAAAGUGGAAUUCCAGGUGUAGCGGUGAAAUGCGUAGAUAUCUGGAGGAACACCGGUGGUGUAAACGGCUUUCUGGACCAUUACUGACGCUGAUGCACGAAAGCGUGGGUAGCAAACAGGAUUAGAUACCCUGGUAGUCCACGCCCUAAACGAUGCAUAUUUGGUGUGGGCCAUUCAGUUGGUCCGUGCCGGAGCUAACGCGUUAAAUAUGCCGCCUGGGGAGUACAGUCGCAAGGCUGAAACUCAAGGAAUUGACGGGGGCCCGCACAAGCGG